rnacentral:rRNA from 1 species
GACGAACGCUGGCGGCGUGCCUAAUACAUGCAAGUCGAGCGAAUGGAUUAAGAGCUUGCUCUUAUGAAGUUAGCGGCGGACGGGUGAGUAACACGGGGGUAACCUGCCCAUAAGACUGGGAUAACUCCGGGAAACCGGGGCUAAUACCGGAUAACAUUUUGAACCGCAUGGUUCGAAAUUGAAAGGCGGCUUCGGCUGUCACUUAUGGAUGGACCCGCGUCGCAUUAGCUAGUUGGUGAGGUAACGGCUCACCAAGGCAACGAUGCGUAGCCGCCCUGAGAGGGUGGUCGGCCACACGGGGACUGGGACACGGCCCAGACUCCUACGGGAGGCAGCAGUAGGGAAUCUUCCGCAAUGGACGAAAGUCUGACGGAGCAACGCCGCGUGAGUGAUGAAGGCUUUCGGGUCGUAAAACUCUGUUGUUAGGGAAGAACAAGUGCUAGUUGAAUAAGCUGGCACCUUGACGGUACCUAACCAGAAAGCCACGGCUAACUACGUGCCAGCCGCCGCAGUAA